CCUCGCGCGUGUGAGGGAGAGGACACUGUGCAGCAGAGUCCAUGUAGAUAAAAGGACACUUUCUCUGCAGCUUUUACUCUCUCACUCUCUCACCCUCUCACACCGUCUCUCCUCUCCUCUCCUCUCCUCUCCUCUCCUCUCCUCGGAUGUGAUCAAACGCGUCACUGCUGAAACACGGGAAAUAUCCGGCAGAAACACCGAUGGUGGAUAUUGUGUGGAGUUAAUCUGAUGUGCAAGACAAUGGCAGCAGCAGCAGCAGCAGCAUCUGCCCUAAAGUUUGCACCAACUCCAAAUGAAGCCAAACUGCACCAGAGAGGAGGAGGAGCUGCAGUCGUCCUGCAGAUAGAAUCAUGGAGUGGGUGGAUGGAAAGCUGGAUAAAGGCUGGUAGAUGACUGAACUCAGAGCCCCAGCACAGCUCAUCAUCAUUGCCAUGGGCUCUCAUCUUCCUCCUCUCCUCCUCUGGCCCAUACCUCCAUCCAAGGGUCCAGUUGAGGCAGUGAAGCCCAGGCAGGGGGCUAGUGAGUGGGCUGGGAAGGAUGGAAAAGGUCCCUGAAGGCUCGAAGCACCUCUGGAGCUCCCGUCAUGCAGGAGAAAUCAAUAUGAAACACAAAGCCUACACAGCUCUGAGUUGGGUUUCCUGUGUUAUUCUGUGGCCUUGGGGCCCACAGACCUCCAAAGUACGGGCCCCUGCAUGGCCCUCUUGGCUGCAGCUCUGGCACCGAAGACUGGACCUCAAGUCUCGAUCUACGCCGGCUGUGUGUGUGGUUCUGCUGAAGGGGAAUUCUCCCCAAAUAAUAUCCAAUACUGAGACUGCUUAAAGAUUGCCGAGAGGGAUAUUCCUUUCUCUUGAUUUUUUUUUUUUUUUCUUCGUAAGAUUGACAUAUCCCCCAUUCUCUGCCUCUGGCUGUUUAAAUACCCGUUUUGGAGAUCCGCUUUUGACUCGCUCUCCAUCUACAAGUUGUUUAUUCCCUGACAAAUGUUUUACAUUUGACAAAGAGAGACUGCUCUGUCUGUAUUUUUUCUCUUCCUCUCGUGGGUUUGCUGUUACUAUGGUGAGCUGUGGUCAUGUGACUGUUCAAACACAUGAAGUAUGAGCAUCUUUUUUUUUUUCCUCCACUCUGUCAGACUGAUUAAAAGCUGACAAAAACCACAAAGAGGGCCGAAGAUCACAAAGCAGAGACCUUCCCACCUUACAGUGAAAACAGUGAA